rnacentral:rRNA from 1 species
GUGGGGAAUUUUCCGCNNAUGGNCGAAAGCCUGACGGAGCAAUACCGCGUGAGGGAUGAAGGCUCUGUGGGUCAGUAAACCUACUUUUUCCCAAGGAAGAAGUUNCUGNACGGUACNUGGGGNAAUAAGCAUCGGCUAAU